AUUGAACGCUGGCGGCAGGCUUAACACAUGCAAGUCGAGCGGAGUGAUGGUGCUUGCACUAUCACUUAGCGGCGGACGGGUGAGUAAUGCUUAGGAAUCUGCCUAUUAGUGGGGGACAACAUCUCGAAAGGGAUGCUAAUACCGCAUACGUCCUACGGGAGAAAGCAGGGGAUCACUUGUGACCUUGCGCUAAUAGAUGAGCCUAAGUCGGAUUAGCUAGUUGGUGGGGUAAAGGCCUACCAAGGCGACGAUCUGUAGCGGGUCUGAGAGGAUGAUCCGCCACACUGGGACUGAGACACGGCCCAGACUCCUACGGGAGGCAGCAGUGGGGAAUAUUGGACAAUGGGGGGAACCCUGAUCCAGCCAUGCCGCGUGUGUGAAGAAGGCUUUAUGGUUGUAAAGCACUUUAAGCGAGGAGGAGGCUCUUUUGGUUAAUACCCAGAAUGAGUGGACGUUACUCGCAGAAUAAGCACCGGCUAACUCUGUGCCAGCCGCCGCCGUAA
rnacentral:rRNA from 1 species